AAUGGCGUGUAUCGCGAUGCUGGUUUUGCCACAAAUCCUAAAUAAUGAUAUCGACUUCAGGUCAUUAAGGAUAAUAAAAGGGACGAUGAGGUACCCGAAACGAGCCAGAGACAUUGGGAACAAAUAAUUAAGACACAUUUCCGAAGAAAAUAAAAUAGAGGACUUAAUAACUAAGGUUAUUAAGUUCCAUGAAAUUACCUGUCAAAAAGCACAUCAAAUUAUGGAGUUAAUCGACCGAUCCAACAAAAGAACACAAGAAAUAAAGAAAAUAAUUAACAACGUCACGGAAGAUAUAAAUACCCUAAAAAAUAAAAUCGGAGAAAUCCAGAUUACGAAUAAAGCGUAAGAAUUACAUUAAAUAUUUAUUUAUCUAAAAAGUAACGUCGAGUCUUAAAUAAAAAGUAUUAUUAGAGAAGAAAGUGGUAAUAUGAUUCAUUUACAUUUUAUGCAAUAACUUUGUUAAUAAUUAAUAUUUUAAAUUAAAACCUAACGGUUAUAUUCAUUAAAGUGUUUAUCAGAUUUAUUAGAUUUUGUUGUUUUUUAGAUUUUAGAUUAAAAGUUACAUACGUUUAUGUAAUAUUACAUUUGAAUUUAAAAGAAUGAGGAAGUAUGUGUAAUUAAAUGAUAACAUGUACUACUUUAAAUAGUUUCGAAAUGCUCGAAACUAAAAAUGCUUUGUAAUAAUCGUUAGUUUUUGUGACAAUGACAAA